rnacentral:rRNA from 1 species
UACGGAGGGAGCUAGCGUUGUUCGGAAUUACUGGGCGUAAAGCGCACGUAGGCGGCUACUCAAGUCAGAGGUGAGAGCCCAGGGCUCAACCCUGGAACUGCCUUUGAAACUAGGUAGCUAGAAUCUUGGAGAGGUCAGUGGAAUUCCGAGUGUAGAGGUGAAAUUCGUAGAUAUUCGGAAGAACACCAGUGGCGAAGGCGACUGACUGGACAAGUAUUGACGCUGAGGUGCGAAAGCGUGGGGAGCAAACAGG